UACCAGCACCCCCGAGUGGUCGGGACGAUUAUUGGGCCUAAAGCAUCCGUAGCCGGUCCUGCAAGUCUUCCGUUAAAUCCAGCUGCUCAACAGAUGGGCUGCGGGGGAUACUACAGGGCUAGGAGGCGGGAGAGGCAAGCGGUACUUUAUGGGUAGGGGUAAAAUCCGUUGAUCCAUAGAAGACCACCAGUGGCGAAGGCGGCUUGCCAAUACGCGCUCGACGGUGAGGGAUGAAAGCUGGGGGAGCAAACCGG
rnacentral:rRNA from 1 species